rnacentral:snRNA from 1 species
CAGCUUACCCGGCAGGGGAGAUACCGUGAUCAAGAAGGUGGUUUUCCCAGGGUGAGGCUCAUCCAUUGCACUGCGCGUGUGCUGACCCCUGCGAUUUCCCCAAAUGCAGGAAACUCGACUGCAUAAUUUGUGGUAGUGGGGGACUGCGUUCGCGCUCUCCUCUG